GGCGAACGCUGGCGGCGUGCUUAACACAUGCAAAUCGAACGGAAAGGCCCUGCUUUUGUGGGGUGCUCGAGUGGCGAACGGGUGAGUAACACGUGAGUAACCUGCCCUUGACUUUGGGAUAACUUCAGGAAACUGGGGCUAAUACCGGAUAGGAGCUCCUGCUGCAUGGUGGGGGUUGGAAAGUUUCGGCGGUUGGGGAUGGACUCGCGGCUUAUCAGCUUGUUGGUGGGGUAGUGGCUUACCAAGGCUUUGACGGGUAGCCGGCCUGAGAGGGUGACCGGCCACAUUGGGACUGAGAUACGGCCCAGACUCCUACGGGAGGCAGCAGUGGGGAAUAUUGCACAAUGGGCGGAAGCCUGAUGCAGCAACGCCGCGUGCGGGAUGACGGCCUUCGGGUUGUAAACCGCUUUCGCCUGUGACGAAGCGUGAGUGACGGUAAUGGGUAAAGAAGCACCGGCUAACUACGUG
rnacentral:rRNA from 1 species